GAUGAAGAACGUAGUGAAAUGCGAUAAGUAAUGUGAAUUGCAGAAUUCAGUGAAUCAUCGAAUCUUUGAACGCACAUUGUGCCCGCCAGUAUUCUGGCGGGCAUGCCUGUUCGAGCGUCAUUUCAACCCUCAAGCCCAGCUUGGUGUUGGGGAUCGGCACAGGCGCCCUCGGGCGCCCGCCGUCCCCUAAAUCUAGUGGCGGUCCCGCUGCAGCCUCCUCUGCGUAGUAGUUUUCUCCUCGCAAGGGCAGCUCGGUGGCGACCUCGCCGUAAAACCCCCAACUUCUGAAAGGUUGACCUCGAAUCAGGUAGGAAUACCCGCUGAACUUAAGCAUAUCAAUAAGCGGAGGA
rnacentral:misc_RNA from 1 species